GUGACAUAAAAACAAAUAGCAUCAUAUUUUUAAAAAAAUACACAUGUACGGGUGCGCGGAUCAAAAUCUAGUAUUUAUUGAAACAACUCAAUAUGUUUAGAGGAUGACUGUUUGCAGUUUUUGGAUUGGUUUUUGGUUUUUGUUUUUCCCAAAACUAUUUUACAUCCAAUCAUGAUUUUGAAAAAAAUAGAUUCCCUAAAAUGUAGGAAAACUAGUUUUAUAAUAAGAAAGAUCGAGUUUAUAAUACUUGGCAAUAUUUCUUGGUUCUGUAAUGUAAAUACAUUUUCAACGUGAUCGGCCCGCCCUACCGGCGUAAUAUUUCUAUGUUAUUAUUUCUUAUAUAAUUUUGAAACGUGUGUUUCAGGUUCACAUUUGCACUUUGUAAUUCAGACGAAAAAAAAUCAAAACAAGAGAUGGCUACGGGGACUGUUUACUAGGAUUUUGAUGGAUUUACAAGGAUGGAAUCCGGGGGAUUUCCGAAAGGCUAAUUGGUGGGAGGAUUCUCAUUACGAAGAUUUUGGGAAAGGUUGGGAACAAAAGGAAUCGAGGAUCGAAAGGAGAGAUCUUAUGGAUCCUCGAGGGAAUCGCUGGAAAAAUGGAAGGUCUACGCUGGGAAGGUUUUGAAGCUUUUUGGUUCACGAAUUUAGGAUUCACGGGAUCAUACUGUUUCUUUUGGACAACGAGGUCGGGACAAGGACUCUAUUUUCUUCAGGUGUCUGUUAUAUGUGAUAAUCAGGUUAAACAAGAGUUGGUUUUUUAUUUCGUUAACCUACAUUAAGGGUUGGUCUUUCGGGUUU